rnacentral:lncRNA from 1 species
GGCAAUGACUCUGCAGAAUUCUAAGGCUUUUCAUAGAGAAGGAUGUAUGCUGCUUAGUGUGGUACUUUUUAUUAUUUCAAAUAUUUUCGCUUUAAAUAUAUUAGAACAUAUUUAUAAAUUUAAGAUGAUUUAAUGCCCUGUGAAAUAUUUAGCCCACCAACACUCUCUCUUUAUUUCAGUUCUCUCGUGAUUCAAUUUUUUUCUGAGUGUAUAUGUUGGUUUCAUGCUUAUUCUAGAAAAUCUGUAGACUGCAGAAGAGUUCGCAUGGGGAAGAAAGAGCAAAGACCUCUAUAAUCCCACCACUGAGAGCUAAUCAUCUCUCCAGUGACCCCCGUCAACUCCCUCACCACCCUGGGCUUCACACACUCUUUUUCAGAAUACCAUUUGUAGACUUCUGAUUAGGAGCACGCUUUGAUGGAGCUUGAAGCACCAUGUGGACACAUCGCUAAGGUUUGCUGCAGGCAAGAUAAAGUGGUUGUUGAACAGAUGAGUAAGAUAUUCCUUCUCAUAAGUGAGCCUCAAGUGGAAAUUAGCCCAUGGAAAACUGGCUCCUGCACUGAGAUGGACCAAGAGGGACUCAUCGAGGAGGAGGCGCUUCUUACGGCAGGUGUCAGGGGAAACACUCUUGGCGCCUUGUUUGGGAGGUGGAAUUGGGCCUUGCGCAUGUGGCUUGUUCAGAUAAUAUGUGGAGAUCACUUACAUCCUCUUGGCGUCUUCUCUUGGAUCAAGCAACCAAAGUUAAAGGCCUAGAAACCCUCAAACCAUGUUCCCCAGAGCAUUACUCCUGUUGCAUCCUUCCCCAGCCACAUCUACCUGGAACCAAGACAUGGGACAGGACUGCUGCCACUAGCCCCUGUAGUUCCUUCCAGGGAAUUUUUAAAAGGUGCCGCUUCCUCAAGAUACAUUCAUUCCAUCUGUUAGAAACUUGUAGUGCUCUGGUUUUGUUACUGACCUUUGCUAAAAAUUGCCAUAAUUAAAAUGCAAAAAGGUGACAGCCACAACGUGAACACUGCCCUCCUGACCCGCCUCUGCCAGUUAUGAGGCCACGUGCAGAGCAGGGCCAAAUUGCGUAUGCAGCCCUGCUGAGAAGGCCAGGUGAGCAUCCUGUACCGGGACUAAUUAUAACCUGGGGUUUUAAUUGCUAACACCCUCGGCCCCCCACCCCUACCAAAGCUACUGCCUUUCGUUUAGCCAUUUAACAAGUGUUUGUUGAGCAUCUGAAAUGAGCCAGACCCUGUGCUAGGCCUGGGCAAAUAAGGAGGCAAAUAAGCCGCGGCAUUUACCCUCUGCAAGCACACCAUCUGCUAGUGACGGAGGGUGGUGGGGACAUAGAGAAAUGCAGUAUAGGGGAGUGUACCUUUGAAGCCCCUGAGUUUUGGAGCAUUUGUAACAGGCCUAGGAUUAGGGUAAGGUGAGUGAGGCAGGAACGUGUGAGUGUAGGGUGGGAUCCUGUCUUUAUUCAAAAUGGUGAUAUUCUGUUCAUCAUGACUUUUUUUUGCAUUAAUUUUGAGCCUUUAAAAUAUUGCCUAA